CUAUCUCCUCUUUUGUAACACGUUUGACUGGUUGCCUAUGCCUCCUUUCUUCCUCCAGAAACCACUUUGGUAGGCCCUCGUCGUCAAACAUGUACUUGCUGUAAGCAUCAUCGAGUAUCUCCUCUCUUUGCUUUUUCCUCAACAUUUUCUUUGCGCAAGCCAAUAUCUCAGCCUUCGCAUCCGCAUCUUCCUCAGAGUCAUCUGAGGACGACUCAGCACUCGAAUCUGUAGCUGGAGCAGGGACUAUUUCAAAAUCAUCUUCCACCUUGGAAGCUUUGGCUAGAGUGUGGAUGGGCACCGGAGCAGGUUUCUCAGUCCUGUCCUUUUUUCCAGGGAUGGGAAGUCUUCCCUCCUGCUUUUCAACCUGCAUUUCAUCCUCACUGUCGUCCUCCAAAUCUCCUCCCCGCACUGCUUCCACAAAUACAUCCUGACUAAACCACUUGUCUGUGAUCUCCUCUUGAGUUGGUGCUUCUCCCCCAUCAAGUGGUACCACAAGGGGAUUGACCUCGUAAUCACCCUGCUCUUUGUCUGAAUCAUAAUCUGAAGGCAUACCAUCAUCAUCACCACCAUCACCCUGCAGACCCAAUAUCAAAAUUUUAGAAAAGCAAUAUUGCGAAAUGAAAAAUUCCCUCCAUGCAAAGAUCAGGAACAGAGAUUCCCUCCCCAACCAGAAACCAAGAACCAUGCGUUAACACUACUGCCCAGCAUCAUAAAAAGGGAGAAAAAAAGUAAUUAUGAAAGAGAUCCAUGGGGAAAAGAGAUUGCACACAAAUCAGGGACAGUGAGGAAACCAUAAUAGGAUCACUGGAUGAAAAUCAUUCUUCCAAAUGAAAGGAUCAUAAGUACCUCCAGGAGUUCUUCCGAGUAGACUUGUUUUGCACGCUUCCUCUGCUUUGUACUUCCCUCCUUUUUGGCAACAAAUCUUUCAUAAGCCUCGUCAAGAAUAUUUUCCAUUUGUUCAUCAUACCUAAGAACAUUGAGGAUAGCAUAAUAUUGCAGAAUCAACAAGGAAGAAUAGGUGAUUGACAGCAUCAUUGGAACCGUUUGACUGACCUUCUGCGUUCUACAUCAGAGUCUAUAUCACUAGAAGAAUCCUUGGGACGUUCCUCCCUGUUUUCUUCAUCGUCACUAUCCUUCACGUCAUCCAUCUCACCAGGAAACUCAUCAUUAUCAACAGCAACCAGAUCUUUCUUCCCCUGAAAAGCCAACAGUACAACCAAAUAGAUAAACAGAAUGCGAGACCAGCACAUCAAAUAUGCCUGUUGAAUAUCAAUAGUUUUGUAUCACAACCUUCAGUUAAACCUGCAAUCCAACAGUUUAUUAGGAGAGGCAUGGCUACAAGAUAAUUCUGUAGACAGCUUAAUAAUUUCUUGAAUUCCCUUUAGAAAACAAAAACAAAAAUAACUUUCUGAACUCAUAAAAGGACAAGGUGAUGAUUGUGUGCCAUCAUACUUAAGCUUCAAUUUCUUGUUCUUACUUAUAUCAGGUCCCUGACAUCCUACUUGUAAAAUUGUCAAAACUUCUGAAGUAUCACACCACCAGCUGUAGACAAUCGCAAAUUACAACUACAAGGCGACAUAUAAGAAAGAAUGUUCCGAGGAUCCAGCACAGUGGAUCGACAUAAAAUUCUUUCAAAAAAUAUGGAUUCACAGAUAAUUCAAUGCAAAGCAAGGAACCAUAUUCUCUUUAUAAGGAUGAUGAAGUAGAAGCACAGUAUUUAACCUUGAUGGACGAUAGGGAAAACAACUCAUGGUCAACAUAACCAUCUUCCAGUGCAUCUAUUUGUACCCCCGUUGCUUUUCGUGCCUUAUCCUGGUAUACGCGUAUGAAGUUAAGCAAGAGAGAGCUUCAUGAGAAAUACUGGAUAACUGAACAAGUAAUACUGAAAUAGACACAUUGCUGGUAAGCUUGUUUCUCAGAAUAUGUACGUGCAGAGCGAGUGGGAAAAAUGCCAAACCUUGGCUCGUCUUUUUGCAAGAAGCUUUUUUGCCUGUUUUUUCUUGCGUUCCAUUGCAUAGGUUAACUCUUCCAUUUCGUUAAGCAAUCUAACAUCUUCAUCCUCCUUGAUCUCAGUUUCAAGAUUUGCAGUAGCAGUAGAAGUAGACUUCUGGGAAGGAGACAGGGCCUUCCUAAUCUGCAUCCGCCACCUAUGUGACCAAAAAGAACAUUGCACGUGAUGUGGGUAAACUGUAAUAUGCUAUUAGCUCUACCAAUGGAGAAUGAUAGAACAAAACUACAGGCUCUUGUUUAAAAUUCAAUAACACCAAAGCAUAUUAAUUCAAGAGGUUCUUUAAUGGGAACGCUGCCAUUAGCUAGAACCAAAGAGCACACUAAAAUUGCAAAAAUUAAUUACUGAUUGCUUGUGUGUCUUUCAGUAUCAAGCAGAUUAAAGAACAUAUAUUAGAUCCAAACGAAAUGUUGAAACUUGACAGAAAUUUAUCAGACCCCAGUAAAAUAUAGAAUUCAAUCAUUCUGGUAAAAGGCAAGACUACAGAAGCCUUCCUAGGGACUGGUAGUUAACUUUGCUAAAAUCACUUGGGAUUUAUUAUGCACAUAAUCAGACACAGAUUUCCACUGCAGUACCAUGGAUUCUAUGCAUUCUUAUGCAAAAAUAUCACAACGCACUGAACACAUUAAACGCAGAAUUCUUAGUAAUAGGUACUCCUUUUGGCGACGUGGAUAGAAUCAAAUAGCAAAUAGUUACGGAAGGGAGAAUACAAAGUACUAUACAUGCUCGACUUAUCCUUCCAUGAACCAUAAUAUACUAAAUAAAACUUCAAACUCAAAAAUGUCAUACAGAAGGAUAAACUUCCAAAACAAUGAAAAUAAGGCAACAGACUUCCUUACUUCAAGAUGUAUUUGAAGUCUUGCUUCGCCAAAACACGUAGAUCAUCACAAAGAGCCUUAACCUGUCAAAAGAAAAAAAAAAGACACGGUAAAUGGAAAGAUAAUAAACAAGAUUCAAAGUUCGAAUCCAAAGAAGGGGCCGGGGACGACACCUCGUCUGUGGUCAGACUAUGAUCCUUAAUAAGUAAAGAAGCUGGAUUGUCAAAGCUUAUGGAAGUAACUGAACCAAGGAUCUCCAGUGGUGCAUCAGACCAAAUGAAAUCAGCAGCUGAAGUCGCUUUCCUCAAAAUUGUGGCACCAUCCUCAUAACUGUAAAUAAAACUUAGUAAGUAAACACAGUUAAUAUGAACAAUUGAAAAGCACUAUUUUUAAACAUCCGUUGUCACCCUAGUUUCCUAUUAAAUAACACCACUAGAUUAUGAGAUUGACAUGGCUGAAAGAGGAAACAACAUAGAUAAUGAGAUCAAUCAAAGAAGGCAGGCUCACCCAUCACGGUGCCUCUUUUGCUUAGUACCUCUUAGCACAUCCACCACCUACAUUUAGAAAAUCAACAAAACAAUCAUAAAUAUCAAAACAUAUAUUUUUUUUUUUUUGAAAUAAAUAAAUAUCAAAACAUAAUGGACUGGAGUGAGAUGAUAAUUUGAGUAAAGUCAAUUUGUUGUUUAUAUUCCAAAACAACAAAAUUACCUUCUUCUGUGGUUCUACAGAUCCUUGGAAAAGAUGCUUAACAUCGAGAAGACGUGGAUCAAUUUUUGCAGGGGCCUUGUAUUUUAAACCCAAAACAUAUAUUUCUGCAGACGCUGAACGACUGGCAGCUGGUUUAUCUACCUCAACCUUCUCAAAUAACUGCAGAAAAAUCAGUACCACAAUAGUUUAGCACGAGGCUCACCAAUAAUUACUUUCAAAGAGCAGAUUAUCAAGAAAAUGUUGAGAAGGCGACAAAAUAAAACUAACCUGCUUAAGGCAGUAAAGAACAGAACUGUAGUCUUGUGACCUAAAAACCUAAGACAAGACAAAAAACAAAUGAGCUUGCAGCAUGCAGAAUCCGUAGCUGAGACUAAACGAUAUACAAAGCACUUUAAUGAAACCUUUAGAUAUAUAACAGAAGAUAUGACUGAAAGACAAAAAGUUGGAAAUACUGAACAAGGUCAGGGCAACCGAAAAUGAGUACCUUAGUAACAAACGUUCCCUUUGGAGCUAGGAACUGAGUAGCAAGCUUGACAGAAUCGAUAACUAAGGCGUUCUGGCUCAUUGCCUCCUGGGCCCAGGCGCCACCCACAUUAGGGGAGCCAUCGUGGAGGACAAGAUCAAAAGCCUUCACCCCAUGCUCAUCCAUGACACGCUGGACUUUCGCCUUGCACUCGGGCUUGGUGAUGUCCUGCACCAUAGCUUCAGCUCCGCGAAUGGGGGCAAUGGGUACCAAGUCGAUUCCGAGGACCAAGCUGCCGACGGGAACGCGCUGAACGGCAACCUGCAUCCACCCACCGGGGGCGGCGCAGAGGUCGAGGACGGCAUGUGCAGAGCGGAGGAAAGAGAACUUGGAGUCGAGCUGGACCAGCUUCCACGAGGCUCGAGAUCGGUACCCGUGUUCCUUGGCUAACCGGUAGUACUUGUCCAACCGAUGCUUCCCCUUUACUUUUCCCAUUCCAGCGGAUUUUCUUCAACUUUUCUCAGGGGUAUAUACUUGUAUAUAUAGGGAGUUAACGGAGAGUGGAGCUCCCCUUGCACGCAAUGAUGUGGUGGAUUCUGCUAGGGUUUGGAAAAAAUGGACGGUUGAGAUCGAAUGUACAAAAUGAAGGGCCAGAUGAAAAGAAUGUCGGGAUUUAGGGCAAGUGGACGAUGGAGAUUUGUUUCUGUUUUUAGUUUGUUAAGCAAUUUGUCAGGGUUUGUUUACUUUUUCUCAAUUAGUGCAUUUUCCUCUUCUCUUUCUGUAUAUAAAUACGCACAUGUUUAUAAUAAAAUACAUACACAAAAACGUACACAGCUCUUAUUUUAGAAAAUAGAGAAACUAAGCACUUCAAUCGGCUUUAGGCUGGGUUGAUUAGUUUGGGCCCAAAACAAAAAAUUCUGCUGCAAAUCGCAUUUUUUUUUAUGAAGUUAACGAAUUUGUAACUAAAUAAAUUAUUGUUACCCAUAACUGUAACUAUAUAUAUAUAUAUAUAUGAUAUUUCUAGUAAUAAUUCGAAUUCAUUUUUAUUAUUCUAUGAUUAUUUUUUUAAAUUGCUACUAUUAUUAUUUUUAUUAUUACUCUAUGACUUAGUUUCAUAUCUUAUUAAUUAAUCAUUCUCUCUUUAAAAAGAAGAACUAUAAAAUUUAGAAACUUAAUUUUUUCGAAAUCUUUAUUUUAAAUAUAGAAUUUAAGUCUGAAUCGCUAUUUUAAAUUCCAAAUUAAUUCUCUAAUCCCAAUUUUAACGAAAGUCUAACUUUAAAUUUCUUUUAAAACACAUAUCUUAUUCAAUCUUUUCUUGACCCUAAAAUGUCUGUUUAAAUCCGACCAAAGCACAAGAACCCGAACACUCCAAAAAUGCAAGCCCAUAAAAUUUAGAAUUUCCCUAGCCUUGGCCCAACCUUGACGCAACCAGUCUUAUAUGGUUUCUAUAGGACGUGGAUUCUGCUAGGGUUUGGAAAAAAUGGACGGUUGAGAUCGAAGGCACAAAAUGAAGGGCCAGAUGAAAAGAAUGCUGGGAUUUAGGGCAAGUGGACGAUGGAGAUUUGUUUUUGUUUUUAGUUUGUUAAGCAAUUUGUCACGAUUUGUUUACUUUUUCUCAAUUAGUGCAUUUUCCUCUUCUCUUUGUGUAUAUAAAUACGCACAUGUCCAUAAUAAAAUACAUAAACAAAAACAGUAAAAUAGAGAAACGUACACAGCUCUUAUUUUAGAAAAAGAGAGAAACUAAGCACUUCAAUCGACUUUAGGCUGUGUUGAUUAGUUUGGGCCCAAAACAAAAAAUUCUACUGCAAAUCGCAUCUUUUUUUUAUGAAGUUAACGAAUUUGUAACUAAAGAAAUUAUUAUUACCCAUAACUGUAAAUAUAUAUAUCUAUGAUAUUUUUAAUUAUAGUUCGAAUUUAUUUUUGUUAUUCUAUGAUUAUUUUUUAAAAUUGCUACUAUUAUUAUUUUUAUUAUUACUCUAUGACUUAGUUUUAUAUCUUAUUAAUUAAUCAUUCUCUCUUUAAAAAGAUGAACUAUAAAAUUUAGAAACUUAAUUUUUUUGAAAUCUUUAUUUUAAGUAUAGAAUUUAAGUCUGAAUCGCUAUUUUAAAUUUCAAAUUAAUUCUCUAAUCCCAAUUUAAACGAGAGCCUAACUUUAAAUUUCUUUUAAAACAAAUAUCUUAUUUAAUCUUUUCUUGAUCCUAAAAUGUCUGUUUAAAUCCGAUCAAAGCACAAGAACCCGAACACUCCAAAAAUGCAAACCCGUAAAAUUUAGAAUUUCCCUAGCCUUGGCCCAACCUUGACGCAACCAGUCUUAUUUGGUUUCUAUAGGACGUGGAUUCUGCUAGGGUUUGGAAAAAAUGGAUGGUUGAGAUCGAAGGCACAAAAUGAAGGGCCAGAUGAAAAGAAUGCUGGGAUUUAGGGCAAGUGGACGUUGGAGAUUUGUUUUUGUUUUUAGUUUGUUAAGCAAUUUAUCACGGUUUGUUUACUUUUUCUCAAUUAGUGCAUUUUUCACUUCUCUUUGUGUAUAUAAAUACUUACAUGUCCAUAAUAAAAUACAUACACAAAAAUAGUAAAAUAGACAAAUGUACACAGCUCUUAUUUCAGAAAAUAGAGAAACUAAGCACUUCAAUCGGUUUUAGGCUGGAUUGAUUAGUUUGGGCCCAAAACAAAAAAUUCUGCUGCAAAUCGCAUCUUUUUUUUAUGAAAUUAAUGAAUUUGUAACUAAAUAAAUUAUUGUUAUCCAUAACUGUAACUAUAUAUAUAUGAUAUUUCUAAUUAUAAUUCGAAUUCAUUUUUAUUAUUCUAUGAUUAUUUUUAUUAUUACUCUAUGACUUAGUUUUAUAUCUUAUUAAUUAAUCAUUUUCUCUUUAAAAAGAAGAACGAUAAAAUUUAGAAAUUUAAUUUUUUCGAAAUCUUUAUUUUAAGUAUAGAAUUUAAGUCUGAAUCGCUAUUUUAAAUUCCAAAUUAAUUCUCUAAUCCCAAUCCACUCUCCGUGUUCCUUGGCUAACCGGUAGUACUUGUCCAACCGAUGCUUCCCCAUUACUUUUCCCAUUCCAAUGGAUUUUCUUCACCUUUUCUCAGGAGUGUAUAUACUUGUAUAUAUUGGGAGUUAAAAGGAGAGAGGAGCUCCCCUCGCACGCAAUGAUGUGGUGGUGAACCUCCCCUAUCACACGGCUUACCCGUCUCGCAGCGGAGCUGUUCACAAGAGAAAGACCAGCUGUGGAUUCUGCUAGGGUUUGGGAAAAAUGAACGGUUGAGAUCGAAGGCACAAAAUGAAGGGUCAGAUGAAAAGAAUGCUGGGAUUUAGGGCAAGUGGACGAUGGAGAUUUGUUUUUGUUUUUAGUUUGUUAAGUAUUUUGUCAGGGUUUGUUUACUUUUUCUCAAUUAGUGCAUUUUCCUCUUCUCUUUGUAUAUAGAAAUACGCACAUGUCCAUAAUUAAAUACAUACACAAAAAUAAUAAAAUAGAAAAACGUACACAGCUCUCAUUUCAGAAAAUAGAGAAACUAAGCAAUUCAAUCGGUUUUAAGCUGGGUUGAUUAGUUUGGGCACAAAACAAAAAAUUCUGCUACAAAUCGCAUCUUUUUUUUAUGAAGUUAACCGAAUGACAAGAUAAGUUGGUUCAAGAGAAACCAGCUUGUUGGCGACUUUGCAAGUGGUACGAAUAAUAGGAGCGGGGCAGGUUGUGAUGACAUUAAAUUUGGGGUGAGGAGGUAGCAGUUUUGGGUGGCAGAGAAACAACAAUACACGAAUGGUCAUGCUUCCGUACAUCAAUUAUGGCCCAUAAAACAACAUACAUUGUAUCGUUUAUUUUUUAAUAUUAAAAAAAAAAAAGCUAAGUCAAAGAAUGCUGGAGAUCCAAACUUGGUACAAAAGUUAUUUUUGUUACCUCUUAAUUUUUUAUUCAUUUUGUUAUUUAUAAAUGUUAUUUUUCUGUUUUUUAUAUUAUUAUUAUUAUUAUUGUAUUUUACUUUAUGUCUUCUUGUUCAUCAACGUGACGUUUUGAAACCAGACACCAGGAAUAAGAAAGACAUGAACGACGUCGUUUUGGAAAGCCUCAAAACGGCGCCGUUUUAAUGAACCAAAAAAAAGAAAAAAAAGAAAAAAAACAGAGAAGAUAUUGUAGGGGCAGCCAAAGAAGAUGAAGAAUAAGCGAGGACCUGCACGCCCGCCCAAGCAGAAGGAAGAAGAGGCGUGCAGGGCUCUCAGUCCUCCUGCCUUUCGUACCACGUUUGGAUCUUUGCUCUUUAACUUAGUUUUUUUUUUAAAAAGAAACAUUAAAUGUUAAUUUUAUUUUUCUGUUUUUUUAUAUUAUCGUUACUGUAUUUUAUUUAAUUUUAUAAUUAUCAACUACACUUUCCUUCUUGCAGCUUUUUUUUUUUUUUUUUUUACAAUUUUAUUUUCUCAACUUAGUUAUAAUUUAUGUGUUUAUUCGGUUAUUUUAUUAUAUUAGCAUAAUGCAAGAAUUAUCUAUAAUGAAUAUUUUACACUAAAAUUCAUUUAAAUAUUAUAUAAAAGAUUUAUUAUCAUCUUUACAAAUGAUUAAAUUUUGAAUACAUCUAUAAAAGAUUCACUUCAACAAUGAAAAAAAAUUAAAAAAGUGAUAUGAUUACAAAAAAUAAAUAAUUCUCCAAAAAAUUAUUAUGAUAGAAUGUACUAAAUUUUAAAAUUGUUAGCAAGUACAAGUCUAUAGUGUUUCAUGUAAGCUCUCAAGAAAAAUUGUUUAAGAAAAUAAUUUUGAUAAAUAUAUAUUAGCAAACACAUUAUCUACUUUUCAAGUCUUGAGUAUAUAUAUAUAUAUAUAUAUAUAUAUGUAUAUGCAGCAACAAUAUCAAUAUCAAAAGAAAAUUUAAAAAAAAAAAUACUCAGAGUUGAUACAUUAUUUUCUUGUAAUUAAACAGAAUAAUAAGUUGUUUAUAAAAUCACGAAACUGGUCCAUUAGAAGUGAAAAAAUCAUUAAAAAAAAUAAGAUAAAUAAAAAUUAACAUAAUAAUAAUUCAAAACUCAAUAUGUUUAUAUUAUCAACACUGAUCUCACAUUUUUAGGUUUUAUUUAUAAAAAGGAAAAAAAUAUUCUAGCAAAAUUUAUGGUUUUAAAUGAUAUUUUCCACAUGAUAUAUUUUAUGUAAUUAAUUUCUUUCAAAACUUAUAAGUAAUAAUGAUAAUAUCAAAUUUUAUUAAUUAUUUCUACUACUAUCUUAUUAUUUUUUUGGUUACAUAGAGUCUGAUUACGCGUUUAUAUAUAUAAAUAUGAUGAAUUUUUCCUUUUUUUUUAAUAUAUAUAUAUAUCAAAAAUAUAAUUUUAAUUAGACUAAUAUAUGUAUUCUUUCAUUUUUAAUUAAGAAAGCUUGAAACGAAUAAUUAACGAAAUGUCAAAUAUUUUUAUUUUACAAUUUAUUUCGCAUAAUAACUCUACCAAAGGUAAUUAUAUUACAUGAAUAACUUCUGUUGUCAUAGUUUUGACUGUGCAACAACUAAUUUGAUUACAAGGUAAGGAAUACCGUAUUACAUCAAAAGAUACAAUUAAUACCGUCAGAAACACACCAGUAACUCAAGUUAAUUCAUGAGAUUUUUUAAAACCAUUAGUGAAAUAUACAUAAAAUACGCGUAGAAUCAUUAUUAGGACCAUCAUACUUGCCACCAUCGAUGAAUUAGUUGGAUUAAUCAAUCAAAGUUAGCUUCAGUCAUUAUGUAUUGAAUAGAAGUGAAGACCUCAGUAACGAUUAGACGAUAGUAAAAAAAUCAUAGUAAAUCAUGUAGCUACUUGUACUAAAAAACAAUAAGCAUAAUUUUUCAUAAAUAAUAAAAUAUAUUGACAAAAAAAAAAGAAACAUAUUUACUAAUUAUAUCGUUUGCAAUAGUCUGAAUCUCAAGAUGUUCUUCGAAAGAAAUAAGAUCACUUUCACUCUAAGAACUAUAGAUGAGAAUUUUAUCUCGCACAACUCAAACAAAAAUAUUUCAGUAUUGAUUAAAAUGAAUAUAUAAUAAAAAUUUCAAGAGUUCUUAAUAAUUGGUGAUAUAUACAUCUAUAUUUUAAAAAAUAGAAAUUUACUAAUUCAAAUACUUUUAGAAUUUAAUAUAAUUGGUUAAGACAUUUCAAUUCAAUUAUAACGAGAACAUUGAAAUUUUACAUAAAUAGAAGAUUUUUAAAUUAAAUUAAUAUUCAUUCGCGAUAAAUUAAUUAAUAAACCAUUACCAACUAAAAUUAAAGAUGAAUUUGUAACAUAAAUUAUAUAUUAGUUGAAAGAGAAUAAAAAAUUGUCAACGGCAAAACGAGACCGAAAUAACUUGUUGCGUAUGAGGUUAUAUAAUUAUACACUUGGAAAAAAAUAAGAGAAAUAGAUCCCCUUCGCUUAUUACUCCUUGUAAAGUAUAAUCUUAUAUUUUGCAAGGUUAAUCAUAACAUUAAUCAUUACUUCUUAAAAAUUUUUAAUUAUUAUAAUUAAGUAUGUAACCUUAUUAUUUUUAAAAAAAUUAAUUACAUUUAGUUAAUUUAUUAUACAGAGUUUAUGAUCCUGAGGACAGUUAUGUUGAAUUUUUGCUUUUUCAAGAGAGAUUAUAAUAAAAAAGAAUAUUCCCAAUAUAAAAUGUAACAAAUUUUAUUUUUUCAGUAAGCUCUUCUCGCUCUUCUCCCAGACGAUGCAGGAGAUUCCUAAGGCAGACGUAUGAUUAUGAUAGGAUUGAAAGGAAACAUGCAUUUCGGUUUUCUUUUUCGAAAUAAAAAAGAAUGAAAGAAAUUAGUAAGAGGGUUUGCUUUGUAAAUUAUAAAAAAAAAAAAAAAAUAACAAACAAAAACAUUUUCCUCUUAACAAGGCCCACGCCCCUGCUCAGUCACACAUGCAUCUGCCUUCCUUCUACCCCUCUUUCUUGGGCUUCCUUCCUGUCUUUGAUGGAGACUUCAUUUGUCCUUUGCCUUUCUGAGCUCUGACAUUCUUCCUCUUUUUACCUCAUUUUCCUGGCUUCCCCAUCCCACGUGCCCUAGCAUCCUUUUUCAUCCUAAGAUCCAUAAGGACAUUUCCCUUGCCAGUCUUCACCUGCACUCCCUUCUUUGCAACCACAUAUUCCUUUUGUGGCCUUUUGGAAGUUGCUUUCUUAUAAAGUUGUUCAAUUAAUUUCCUCUUUGAACGAGCUGAUAUUUCUGCUUGGUCUGAUAUACUAUUUGCUUUUUUCCGAACUUUCUCGAGCUUUCUCAUGGCUGCACGCUUCUUGUGGCCUUUGGCCUCAGCCACUUUCUUUGCAGGUCUGACAUUGAUUUCUUUGAACUUAACUGGUUACCUAUGCCUCCUUUCUUCCUCCAGAAACCACUUUGGCAGGCCCUCGUCCUCAAACAUGUACUUGCUGCAAGCAUCAUCAAGUAUCUCUUCUCUUUGCUUUUUCCACAACAUCUUCUUUGCACAAGCCAAUAUCCCAGCGUUGUAUCCGCAUCUUCCUCAGAGUCAUCUGAGGAUGACUCAGCACUUGAAUCUGUAGCUGGAGCAGGGACUAUUUCAAAAUCAUCUUCCACCCUUGAAGCUUUGGCUGGAAUGUGGAUGGGCACUGAAGCAGGUUUCUCAGUCCUGUUCUUUUUUCCAGGGAUGUGAAGUCUUCCAUCCUGCUUUUCAACCUGCAUUUCAUCCUCACUGUCGUCCUCCAAAUCUCCCCCCC
rnacentral:lncRNA from 1 species